GCUUGUCUCAAAGAUUAAGCCAUGCAUGUCUAAGUAUAAAUAACUACACAGUAAAACUGCGAAUGGCUCAUUAAAACAGUUAUAGUUUAUUUGAUAUAUUAUAUGGAUAACUGUAGAAAAACUAGAGCUAAUACAUGCCAUAACCGUAAGGUUGUAUUUAUUAGAUAUUCCUGGUAGGUGAUUCAUAAUAACUUAGCGAAUCGUGACUCGUUCACGAUAAAUCAUUCAAGUUUCUGCCCUAUCAUGCUUUCGAUGGUAGGAUAGAGGCCUACCAUGGUGGUAACGGGUGACGGAGGAUUAGGGUUCGAUUCCGGAGAGGGAGCCUGAGAAACGGCUACCACAUCCAAGGAAGGCAGCAGG
rnacentral:rRNA from 1 species